rnacentral:rRNA from 1 species
CAGUGCGGAAUGGGGGACAAUGGGCGCAAGCCUGAUCCAGCCAUGCCGCGUGCAGGAUGAAGGCCUUCGGGUUGUAAACUGCUUUUGUACGGAACGAAAAGGUGCCUUCUAAUAAAGGGCGCUCAUGACGGUACCGUAAGAAUAAGCACCGGCUAACUACGUGCCAGCAGCCGCGGUAAU